GUCUGGGAGGGGACUGAAGCCAUCCAGCUCCUGGGGAACCUCCUACUGCUAUGAGGAAAAGAGCGAUGACUGCACUUGCUGCUUUGAGCUGAGAGGGGUUGAUGUGCAGUGGGGCCAGCAGUUUGGUGCCCCUUUUUCAAGGGGUCCAUGGUAAAAAUCUGGUUUACCUGUGGAUGGGUGCUUCUAUGAGAGAAACAAAAAGACUUGAGUACUGAAAUAAGAUUAAUACAAAAUAGCAGUUGUAGUAUCUGUAGAAACAAUAAUCUUUCACCAAGAGGUAUAAGAAUUGAGAAGCUGUUACCAUAACAUGGCCAGCCUAACAAAGUCUAGGAAGCUUUUAUUUGGGAAUGUAAAUCUUUAACAUUGUCAGAGUUAUCAGGAAUGUAAGCACAACAUUUAGUUAAGCUACUUAAUGUCAUCUGAUUUUUGUAAAAUGUCUUUUUAUUGACAUGAUCUCUGGGUCAGUAGAGAUCCCUUUAUCUUUGUUACUUAGGGCUAGAUAAUUAUACUAGUAAAUGCUGAUUAAGUCUACCUGUGUAGGAGGUUAGGAAGAUCUGUAAGCCUUAAAACUUCUAGCUCUGUUAGUUUCUCUUGGUAGUUAUCAGGCAUUCUUGCCUAAGAAUCACUCUUAUGUUGCCUUCAGUUUUACUUAUUGUAGGGGACUAACCCAAGUGUACAUCUUAAAUUACAUUAAAAUAACUAUUAUUUCUUAAA